UACGUAGGCAGCAAGCGUUGUUCGGAAUUACUGGGCGUAAAGAGUGUGUAGGCGGUGCUCUAAGUCUGUCGUGAAAUCUCCCGGCUUAACUGGGAGGGUGCGGCGGAAACUGGAAUGCUAGAGGGUGGGAGAGGAAAGCGGAAUUCCUGGUGUAGCGGUGAAAUGCGUAGAUAUCAGGAGGAACACCUGCGGUGUAGACAGCUUUCUGGACCACUUCUGACGCUGAGGCGCGAAAGCGUGGGGAGCAAACAGG
rnacentral:rRNA from 1 species